AGAGUUUGAUUCUGGCUCAGGAUGAACGCUGGCGGCGUGCCUAACACAUGCAAGUCGAGCGAUUCUCUUCGGAGAAGAGCGGCGGACGGGUGAGUAACGCGUGGGUAACCUGCCUCAUACACAUGGAUAACAUACCGAAAGGUAUGCUAAUACAGGAUAACAUAAGAGAUUCACAUGGAUUUCUUAUCAAAGCUCCGGCGGUAUGAGAUGGACCCGCGUCUGAUUAGCUAGUUGGUAAGGUAACGGCUUACCAAGGCGACGAUCAGUAGCCGACCUGAGAGGGUGAUCGGCCACAUUGGAACUGAGACACGGUCCAAACUCCUACGGGAGGCAGCAGUGGGGAAUAUUGCACAAUGGGCGAAAGCCUGAUGCAGCAACGCCGCGUGAGUGAUGAAGGCUUUCGGGUCGUAAAACUCUGUCCUCAAGGAAGAUAAUGACGGUACUUGAGGAGGAAGCCCCGGCUAACUACGUGCCAGCCGCCGC
rnacentral:rRNA from 1 species